GUAGGGAAUCUUCCGCAAUGGACGAAAGUCUGACGGAGCAACGCCGCGUGAGUGAUGAAGGUUUUCGGAUCGUAAAGCUCUGUUGUUAGGGAAGAACAAGUGCCGUUCAAAUAGGGCGGCACCUUGACGGUACCUAACCAGAAAGCCACGGCUAACUACGUGCCAGCAGCCGCGGUAAUACGUAGGUGGCAAGCGUUGUCCGGAAUUAUUGGGCGUAAAGGGCUCGCAGGCGGUUUCUUAAGUCUGAUGUGAAAGCCCCCGGCUCAACCGGGGAGGGUCAUUGGAAACUGGGGAACUUGAGUGCAGAAGAGGAGAGUGGAAUUCCACGUGUAGCGGUGAAAUGCGUAGAGAUGUGGAGGAACACCAGUGGCGAAGGCGACUCUCUGGUCUGUAACUGACGCUGAGGAGCGAAAGCGUGGGGAGCGAACAGGAUUAGAAACCCUAGUAGUCC
rnacentral:rRNA from 1 species